UGUAUGGUGGAAGUCAGAAAGGGAAAUAGGAACAAACACCUUGUGGUAAAUUCUAUGGGGAGAAGAGGUGCUUUAUGUGUCAUAAAAGGAGUACACAGGAAGAUGGCUUCCAAGAUUUUAAAGGUACCGUGUCCCUGGAAACCGCAGUCACUUGUGCUGUUAGAGGAGCACAGAAGGAGGGCCUAACAGACAGACCCACAGCACAGACCAGUCACCUCUGGGAAAGGCAGGCUGUCCAGAAAGAGAAAACGCGGAGGGCCAAGGUAUUCCCAUCUCCUCCAUGAAAGAAAUUGAUAGAACUACUGGUUCUUUGGGCCUGGCGGUCCUUAUCGCUUCACGCUACUGUUAGAGACAGUGUGAUCUCAUGGUUAGGGCACAGGCUGCUCUGAAGUCAGACUAGAAGCUCAAUGAAGUCAAGUUAGGCGGACAGAUGACACCAACACAAUGCCAAGCACUGUACAUACUUACUGAAUGGAUGAAUGAGAAGAGUGACAACUUGCCAUGGUUCAAAGAAAAUGGGGUUUGGAGUCAGAGUAUGAUUGAAGUCUGACCUCUGCCACCUUUUACUCUGACCAUAUCCGUAUUCAGAGAGCUAGAAUACUUCAUCAUUGCCACAGAGGACGAAUGAGAAGAGAGAAAAAUAUUAUGCACAAGGGCUUAUUUGCAGGAUGAGAAGCUGAACGAUCAGAUCUAUCUUGUAGGAAAUUAACCAGUUACUCCACAAUUUACUUGCAUGGCAAUUAAUUCUGAAGUACCUUUCAACACAGUAAACGGAAAAUUUAUUUUCCUCUUCUGAAAGGCUACUGGUUUAAGAAAUUGACUCUAUUUGUAGGGAAGAAA